rnacentral:rRNA from 1 species
UACGAAGGGGGCUAGCGUUGUUCGGAUUUACUGGGCGUAAAGCGCACGUAGGCGGUUUGUUAAGUCAGGGGUGAAAUCCCGGAGCUCAACUCCGGAACUGCCUUUGAUACUGGCAAGCUAGAGUCCGGAAGAGGUAAGUGGAACUCCUAGUGUAGAGGUGGAAUUCGUAGAUAUUAGGAAGAACACCAGUGGCGAAGGCGGCUCUCUGGACCGAGACUGACGCUGAGGCGCGAAAGCGUGGGAGCAAACAGGAUA